UCGUACGUGCUGUCCCUCGCGGCAAAAGGGCGUUUUGGAACAGGGAGAUCUGUGCAGGUCUGGAGAUGAGCAGCUCGUGCAAGCAUAGAGUUUCUCACUAUAUUACCUAGACGGAAAUCUGGCGCUGCUGCGCUGUGGUAUGCAUGGGAAUGCCGGUAUGUUGUGGAUUCAGAUUGGCGUUUGGCGGCUUGUGAAGGAUUCUACGGAUUGGAUUUCGGAGGUGAGUUUUGUUUUCGUUUAUCGUUCUCCGUGCCGUUCCUUUGUCGCUGCCUGGCGUGCAUCGGCCUCUGCGACCGAUGACUUCGUGGUGCAGCGGUUUAAGGAGCUGUCUCGUCACAACACUCAGGACCCUGUAACUACACAAAAGUGGCAGCUGUUGCAGUGCUUGCAGGAACUGUGGCAUCACAGAAGUGGGGUACUGUAACUACACAUAAACGACUACUCUUGCUGUCUUCGCAGGAGCUCUCUUGUCACAACACUCAGGACCCUGUAACUACACAAAAGUGGCAGCGGUUGCAGUGCUUGCAGGAACUGUGGCAUCGCAGAAGUGGGGUACUGUAACUACACAAAAGCAACAACUCUUGCUGUCUUCGCAGGAGCUGUCUCGUCACAACACUCAGGACCCUGUAACUACACAAAAGUGGCAGCUGUUGCAGUGCUUGCAGGAACUGUGGCAUCACAGAAGUGGGGUACUGUAACUACACAUAAACGACUACUCUUGCAGUCUUUGCAGGAGCUGUCUCGUCACAACACUCAGGACCCUGUAACUACACAAAAGUGGCAGCUGUUGCAGUGCUUGCAGGAACUGUGGCAUCACAGAAGUGGGGUACUGUAACUACACAAAAGCAACAACUCUUGCUGUCUUCGCAGGAGCUGUCUCGUCACAACACUCAGGACCCUGUAACUACACAAAAGUGGCAGCGGUUGCAGUGCUUGCAGGAACUGUGGCAUCGCAGAAGUGGGGUACUGUAACUACACAAAAGCAACAACUCUUGCUGUCUUCGCAGGAGCUAUCUUGUCACAACACUCAGGACCCUGUAACUACACAAAAGUGGCAGCGGUUGCAGUGCUUGCAGGAACUGUGGCAUCGCAGAAGUGGGGUACUGUAACUACACAAAAGCAACAACUCUUGCUGUCUUCGCAGGAGCUGUCUCGUCACAACACUCAGGACCCUGUAACUACACAAAAGUGGCAGCUGUUGCAGUGCUUGCAGGAACUGUGGCAUCACAGAAGUGGGGUACUGUAACUACACAUAAACGACUACUCUUGCAGUCUUUGCAGGAGCUGUCUCGUCACAACACUCAGGACCCUGUAACUACACAAAAGUGGCAGCGGUUGCAGUGCUUGCAGGAACUGUGGCAUCGCAGAAGUGGGGUCAGCAUCAAAGAGCCUUUCUGCCAGCUGGGAGACGCUCUUCAGUGUGAAUGCCAGUGAAAUCACAGACAUUCGCCUGCCAUCCUGGGCGACGAGCCUUUCAUUGGCCAGUCGCAGCUGCAUCAGUUGUAAGCCAGUGGCCACCAUGGUCUCUCUCUGUACCCUUACCAGUCCACCAUGGCUAUGAAGUUGGCAGUGCCCAUGCAGUUGCUAAAGCCUGGCAGCUUCAGCAAAGAAGCGAACUCCAGCGCCUUGCUGACAGAGCUGCUGAAUGUCUGCGCUGCCAACUUCACUUUCAUGACCUGUUGGAGGCAAGGAAGGAAGAUCUGCAGAAGUUAUACAUGCAUUAUUUUAGGGUUGCCUCACCUGUUGGUAGUAAUUGAUGUGUGCCUUUGACAGCUUGUUAGCUGCACGCAGGCCUUCCUUCUCCUGCAGCUGUUGCAGCGCCUUGACGUGCUUCCACAGCACUCUCUGUGAUAUAAAAGGAUGUAGCAAUGCAAUUGCUUCUUUGCUAACCCUGAGACAUUAGUCUGACAACUAAGUAUGUCUGCUUACAUCUACACAUUCACAGCAUAUCUGUGCAAAAAGUUUCACAAAUGCUCACUCGAUGUUCUGGUGAACAAAUUCUAGAACGGAAAGGUUCAUCUUAAAUUAUUACAGAAAAAGCACCUUCCCCAUUCGAGGUCCAUGCAACUUGCUUCCUAUAGUAACUGUUUGCUUCCUAUGGCCGAGACUAACUACAGCAACUAUUCUGCUGUUUUCUGUAAGUUUUGGAUUUUGUUGCCACAUAACCUUAAUGGACCCUGCAUUAAUAAUAUGUUUUAACACAACCUUCUUGUUUUUCUUUGACCUGUAAUUCUGUAAUUAAGUGCCAUUGACAUGUUCUUAUUGCUUGUUUAUUUGGACCACAGACGCUGCAAGUGAUAGAUAACUGUAGAUAUCAUGUAGAUGUAACAUAUCUGAUGCAUAAUAAAAGCUGAUUCUUAGUCUGAUA